AGCAGACUGACCUUCAGUAAAUAAAUCAGUCUUCUUCUUUGCCCAAUCGAACACAGCGCUGGGAAAAGAAACAAGGGAACUGUGCCAGAACAGGCGGAAUAUGCUGAGGGGAUUUCGUGACAAGAAAGAAAUUAGAAAUGAGCUAUGUGUGGACGUAUGGAUAGUGUGUACACAUGGUGACACAGACGAGGGGUAAACAAAUGUUUUACAGCUGGGAAUCUCGUAGUGUUUAAGCGCACACUCUUCCUUAUGAUUGCAGCAGACUUAUGUUUAAAGAAAGAAAUGCAAAAUUAGAUGAAGAAAAAAAUCCAGACUGGAAUGUAAUUGACGUGGCCAUGGAUUCAACUUGCUCUGCAAGAGGAAAAGAAAUUGUAGAUGAGCCCCCUGUCUCGGAAAUAAGAAACAGAUGUCCUGCUUUUUUCACUUAUAGACAAUUUGUUUUUGAGUUCCACAGCCUUGUAUAAAUUGACUUAAAGAAGACAUUUUUUGAAGGGCUUGAUCAGCACCUCCCAUGACUCCUGCAGUUCUACAACACCAAGAGAGUCAGUGAAAUACCAGAAAUCCAAAAUAUGAUGUGCCUUGAUAAAAAGAUGACACCACUGAUAUAAAGAAUCUUCAACAACCAAGUUCUGCAGAAAGAUCUGCAAAUUUUGAAACCCUGUCAUUUGCCAAAGUUCUACAACAGCCAACUGAUGAUGUGGAAUUCACAAUUACUGGAGUUAAGGUGGGCAUCCUGACUGUGAGUGAGGAUACCAGACAGAUACCAGAUGGUUUCUUCCCAGCGGAUGUCCUGAAUUUUGCUGUGAUACUGGAGGAGAUUGUUGUUUCAGAACUAAUAGAUGUUCCUAUUGCUUUUGCUAUACUGUUUGGACUACUUUAUGUUCUGAACAUUGAUUAUCCCAAAGAACUACAAUAUACCUUUGAGGUACUUCAGAGAAUUUUCAUGAAACUUGGUGGAGAGAGCUGCACAGCAAGAGUUCACAGUCUAAAAAAUAAUUUAAUGCAGUGAAGGAAAAAUGGUGCAAUGCAGCCGUACUGUUCAAAAUAUUAUUUUUUCCCCCACAUAGAGCUUGGGGGUUAGAGCUUGAGCACCUACAAUAGGAACUUUUUUCACAUUGACAAAAAGGUUAAAUGGAUAGUUCACCCAAAAAUGAAAACUUGCUUAUAAUUUAACCUUCAGGUCAUCCAAGAUGAGUAUGCCUUUCUGUCUUCAUUGGAACACAAAUGUAGAACCAAAAAAUGCAAAUGAAUGGGUGGC
ensembl:lncRNA